GAACGACUCUCGGCAAUGGAUAUCUCGGCUCUUGCAUCGAUGAAGAACGUAGCGAAAUGCGAUACUUGGUGUGAAUUGCAGAAUCCCGUGAACCAUCGAGUCUUUGAACGCAAGUUGCGCCCGAAGCCAUUAGGCCGAGGGCACGCCUGCCUGGGUGUCACAC
rnacentral:rRNA from 1 species